UACGUAGGGGGCAAGCGUUGUCCGGAAUCAUUGGGCGUAAAGAGCGUGUAGGCGGCUUUGCAAGUCCGUUGUGAAAACUCGAGGCUCAACCUCGAGACGCCGGUGGAAACUGCAAAGCUAGAGUCCGGAAGAGGAGAGUGGAAUUCCUGGUGUAGCGGUGAAAUGCGCAGAUAUCAGGAAGAACACCAGUGGCGAAGGCGGCUCACUGGGACGGUACUGACGCUGAGGCGCGAAAGCGUGGGAGCAACAGG
rnacentral:rRNA from 1 species